AGAGUUUGAUCAUGGCUCAGAACGAACGCUGGCGGCAUGCCUCAUACAUGCAAGUCGAACGCGAAAACCCUUCGGGGUGAGUAAAGUGGCAAACGGGUGCGUAACACGUGGGAAUCUACCCUUCGGUUCGGAAUAGCUCCGGGAAACUGGAAUUAAUACCGGAUACGGACGACAGUCGAAAGAUUUAUCGCCGAAGGAUGAGCCCGCGCCGGAUUAGCUAGUUGGUAGGGUAAUGGCCUACCAAGGCAACAAUCCGUAGCUGGUCUGAGAGGAUGAUCAGCCACACUGGGACUGAGAUACGGCCCAGACUCCUACGGGAGGCAGCAGUAGGGAAUAUUGGACAAUGGACGCAAGUCUGAUCCAGCAAUGCCGCGUGAGUGAAGAAGGCCUUCGGGUUGUAAAGCUCUUUGAGUAGGGAAAAUAAUGAUGGUACCUACAGAACAAGCCCCGGCUAACUUCGUGCCAGCAGCCGCGGUAAUUC
rnacentral:rRNA from 1 species